AGUUGAACACAGCUAUUCAUGUCUCUGUUUGAAGCUAGCAACUCGAACAUAGGCUCUUAACUACCAGCUGGCUGGUACCCCUUCUGCGCUUGACUUCAAUGUCCAAUGAGGCGGCUACCAGUAAACAGAAUUGACUAAAGCAUGACGGACCGAUUGAUAUACUUCCAAGAAAGUUUCAAUCAGGAUAGGUUUUGUAUACGUAAGAGGAAGUUUCAAUGCAGAAGUAGUCGUGGCCCUUUUUAAGGCACAUGAAUCUGUCCGGUUCCAAUUGGCUGAGAUGAUUGAAGAACCGUCUUUUGUUUCCCAACUGUGAGAUAGCUAACCAGAUUUAGCACAUGGAGACUGAACUUUCUAAUGUGGAAUUCUUGUGUUACGCGAGAACCCGAUGCUGAAAGUUCCCUCUUAUAAGAGUUGAUGAGACUAUUUUAUACUCUUACAUUACUACUAAUCCGCAUCAAGCAUUUCAUCGAACAGAUCGCCUGCAAGCCAAAAUGGAGUAAGAACGGCGUGCUGCUCGCCGUUGAUUCCGAUUCCCAUGCCAUGGAGUAGCAACCACUUCGGGCAGAAGUUAGAAGAGGUGGACUCACCUGCGAGUGCACAACUCCUCUGCACAUGUGCGCCACCGGCCACCCGCCGGGCAUCCGCACACCAUUCGCCUCGUUUUCUCUCUCUUUCUCGACUAGGGAGCCUCGUUUUCUCUCUGGUGCAUGGGCUGUGGACUUUGGUUAUUUUUCUCAUUGGAUGGGUCUCGACUAUGUUGUUCUCUAGAGGUUAGCUUCAGAGAAAGCAGUGCCAGAUGACCGCCUGAGUUGAAAUGUUCGCAUAAAAGAACAGUACUACUUGCCUAAGAGCAUCUACA
rnacentral:rRNA from 1 species